ACUCCUACGGGAGGCAGCAGUGGGGAAUAUUGCACAAUGGGCGCAAGCCUGAUGCAGCCAUGCCGCGUGUAUGAAGAAGGCCUUCGGGUUGUAAAGUACUUUCAGCAGUGAGGAAGGUGGGUAUGUUAAUAGCAUACUCAUUUGACGUUAGCUGCAGAAGAAGCACCGGCUAACUCCGUGCCAGCAGCCGCGGUAAUACGGAGGGUGCGAGCGUUAAUCGGAAUUACUGGGCGUAAAGCGCAUGCAGGUGGUUUGUUAAGUCAGAUGUGAAAGCCCGGGGCUCAACCUCGGAAUUGCAUUUGAAACUGGCAAACUAGAGUACUGUAGAGGGGGGUAGAAGUUUCAGGUGUAGCGGUGAAAUGCGUAGAGAUCUGAAGGAAUACCGGUGGCGAAGGCGGCCCCCUGGACAGAUACUGACACUCAGAUGCGAAAGCGUGGGGAGCAAACAGGAUUAGAUACCCGGGUAGCGUAG
rnacentral:rRNA from 1 species